AAUAAAGCAUUAUAAAUAUUGUGCCAACCUUUAAAAGAAGGAAGUGCUAGAAUGUUUACACCUUUGUGAACAUGAUAAAUUCUGUAUUAGAACUCAUAGCUCAUACUCAUAAAUUUAUUACCUAGAUCAUAUUUCAUAUGUGUAUUCAAGUUAAAAAAUUCUGUAAAGUUCUGUUUACAAAUGUCAAUUAAUAAUUAUUUCUUCUUGAAAUAUUGUUGAUAUAUGACUUCUAAUGACUAUCAUGUUGUUGUCAUUCAUUGUAAAUGAAUAAAUAUGUUUAUUAUACUUUGUGUGUGUCAUGCUACAUGUACUAUUGAAAAAAAAACCCUGAUAUUAAGUCAACAAUCAUUCUGUUGGUAGAGUGGGGUGAUCAUUUUCGCCAUAUCUUUCCAUGUUUUAUUCAGUUUAUGUUUAGGUCUUUAUGUUUUUGAAGUAUACAGAUAUUUCUAUAUGAAGAUAACUUCAAAUGCAAAAUAUUCUGAGCUUAAAAACGUGUUUGUUUUGAGUAAAAUCAUCUG
rnacentral:lncRNA from 1 species